rnacentral:rRNA from 1 species
GAAACCGCUUAGGGGUUAAGCCCGAUGAACCUGAAUAUCUGAAUUGAGAAAUUCAAUAUUAUGUUGAGAUUUUUAUUUUUUAAAUAAUUAUAUCAACUGGUAUGCACUUUUCUCAUAGUAAGACAUUGCGAUCCAUUAGUAUUUUUUUUAAUAUAAUAAAUUUAUCAAACGGCCCGUAUGUAUUGUUUGUUCUAUCUGUAAUAAUUAUCUUAAUUGUUAUAUGAACAAAUGCAUUUGCGGUGACCUGAUAAAUAGCUGAUGGAGCUUAACAAUCAUGCAACCACAUGUUUUUGUGUAUUACGGUUUAUUGAAAUUAACAAAUUUUAAUGAAUGCAUUGUAAUAGCAUGUAUUUGAUUAGCAAUGCGAUAGAUUUGGGAUACCUUCGGGACCCGUCUUGAAACACGGACCAAGAAGUCUAACAUGUGUGCAAGUCAUUGGGUAUAUGUUUUUGUUGAAACCUAAAGGCGAAAUUAAAAUAACUAUAAUGGGAUUACAAGUAAUUAAUAUUAAUUGUAUUACUUCUUCAUCCCGGGGCGUUCCAUACGAACAUGAUUUAAGCAAUUGAAUCCUCUGUUCAGGAGCGUACCUUGAGCAUACAUGCUGUGACCCGAAAGAUGGUGAACUAUACCUGAUCAGGUUGAAGUCA